UGGGUUGGGGAAGCAUUAUACAGCCAAAACUUCAGAGCACAAAGAAGCACCUUUCUUCUCUGGGUGCUUGUAUUUGAUCAUCUUUUUUUUUUUUUUUUUUUUUUUAGGUUUGAAAUUCCCGCAGGAUUUUCCGCUUGAAGCACAAGGGUGAAAGAACAGCACCUAAACAAUCCUUUUGUUUGCUAUGCCUGUGCUGAUGGAGAGGUCAAGGAUCUAAUUCCCUGCAUGGUGUGAUUGCCACAGCUAUAAUAAUUCCAGAAGGGGAUGUAAGCUAUUAACCAUGCCGAGGCAGGAGCUGGAAUCUCAGCAUAUCACACUGGGUGCAACCUACAGAAACUCCCUCCCCAGCAGAUGAAGUGAGUCAGUCCAGGUGUUACGUGGACUUCGAAGCCUCCUGGCCUAGGAGGACCUCCCUUCUUGACUGAACAGAAGAAAAACAUGAAGCAGAACCAAAAAAACCCCGGCCCUCACUGCAGGCAGAAGGGAAAUGUCACAGACCCACGAGUCACUGCAAUAAAACAGCUGUGUAAUGGAAGUCUUUGAAGUUUGAUUCUCCCCCCUUGUCAGUUCACCAAGCAAGAGACGUGAACUGCAUCCAAAGCUUCCCUCCCUGCCUCCAAACCUUUGCCUUGCCUUUCUGGAAUCCUACCUGGCUGCAAAUUCCCUGACUUUGUCACGGGGCUGGAUGUCACAGGAUGCAAUGGAAAUUUAAUGUUUCUAAGAGGACACUGUAAUGAGGAGGUUUUCCCUUCCCACUGAUGGGACUGAUGGAGGUGAUUGCCACGAUCAGGGACUGCUAUCAAGGUCCAGACAAGUAUUUUCCAGUCCUCUGGUACCUUUUCUUCUCUACCUGCUCAAAAACAGCUGCAGAUGCUGAGAUUUUAAAGCCCAGCCCUUAAGAUGUAACGUAGUUGAAAUGUCCAUAAACACCUUGAGUCUCUUUAGAGAUGUCUGUGCUUGCCAAAGUCUGCAGCUCACUGGUGUGUCUCAUUAUUCGUGGUGCUUCCCCCUCCUGCAGCCCAUGAUUAUGUGUGAACUGCAGGGAAAAAAAAGCAUUUAAAGACUUCAGUACAACCUCAAUGCCUUAACUGAAAAAGUAGUUGAAGAAACUCUAAUUUAAUAAAAAGGUUCAAAAUCUUUGAUAUUAUUUAAGAUGACCUCAAGACUUGGAACCUGUCUUGAACUGCAGCUUUUUUCCAGCAUUGGCUGGGAAAAAAAAAUCAGAUAUUGAAUGAUAUUGAAAUAUUAUCUGAAUAUUUUUUCCUUAUUCUUUUAUAUUAAUAACCCAAGAGCACCAACUGCUCAGCUGAAAUCUGAACAAUAAUCACCAGAUUCUGUGUUUUAUGGCUGAAAUAAAUCUGAUUAGAAAACAGGAAAAAAAAAGUCAGUAAAACUAGCGGCACGAUUCACCAGGAUGAAAAUUCACUGAUGGAAAUAGGUUGCUUAGAGGAGUCAAAUUCUGGUUUUGAGUAGAAAUACAUAUUGCACAGCUGACCAGGGAUCCACUAAAAUGGAUCCAGGCUAUUAAUCAGCAGAUAUCUUCUCUCUGUGUGUGUGUAUGUUAAGAGGAUGACAAGGUACUUGAUCUAGAAGAGUUCCAAGGGUAUAUAAAAGGCAAUAUUUUCUUGGAUUUUGACCAUAAAACAAAUUAAUUUUCUCUUCUUUUUCAGGGCUGAGUCUCCCACGGUGUGGUUUGUCCUUGCUCUGCCCACAAAAGCGCUCAGGAGCAACAACCCACCCCCAGAUUGUGGGGAUCCCUUUCUCCUUUCUCCAGCGAGGUUAUUCCUGUCAAUACCAAACAAGAAGAGACACUUAUCAUUUUAGGGACUUUUCCACCAUUUAUCUUCCCACUCCCUCUCUCCCCUGCACAGGUGUACACUUGUUCCAGUCACUUUUCUCCAGGGGCAGAACCUGUUUUCCUGGGGGACAGGAAUGCUGACCCGCCUGCCUUCUGCUUCGAGCAUCCAUCAAACCCAGCCUCUGUGUCCCCUGGAGUCUUAAUUUUCCUCUUGACAGCAAAGACAAAUGAAUCCCCCAGGGCUGUUUGCUCAUGUCUACUCAAGGAUUCUGUGACAUUUCUUGAAGAUGUCCUGGUUUUUAAGCACACGAUGAGUUUUCUUUCCACUGCCACCUCCUACUGUGAAGGUGGAGAGAGAUUUGCUUCAAGAAAACCUUAUGGUGCCAAUCCCUGCCACGUCCUCUCUCUCUGCUUUCUGCUCUGGGCUGCUUCUGCUUACCAGAUGUUGCCAGCUGUAAUGCUUUUCCUGUAUUUAGGGUUGUCCUGCACAGAUACAGUGACACUUCAUUUUGAGGUGGAACAACCAAAAGAAAAUAUAUUUUAUCUUUCAGUGUUUUUUCAAUCCAAGUUUUUCCCAACUCACCCUGAAAUCUGACUUUUGACUUCCCCAACACCAAACCACCAACUCCCAAAUGGUGGGAAGUAUUCCCAUGAAUAUUCUCCAGUCUCUAGGAUUAGCUCACUCUCUCUGACCUCCAUGACCACAACAUGAGAGGCUGGGAGCUGCUGUUUGAAUCAUCAAACCAAAGGCAAGGGGUGGUUUGUAUGUUGUUUGGGAUGAUAGUUCCACUGGGUUGUUCCAGGUGAUACAAGGAAACACGUGACACUGGGAACAUUUGCUGUCAGGACAGCACAUAGGAAUCACCCACUUUGCCAAAAGACAGUUGGACAGAUAAUCUCCCUCAUAUUAAUUUAUUUUAGACUUUUAAUAGCUUUUAAGGCUUUUUUUUGUGCCUUAUUUCUAAGAUAUUUCUGGAAAUGACAGCCACGUUUGUAAGAGUCUCAAAGACAACUUCUGUCCCUAUUCUGGGAACAGAGCAAAGGUGGUCACCCACCUGCCAGCCCCUCACAGGUAGGUUAUCCUCUGCAAAACAGCACCUUGAACAAAACUCUCCUUCUCUCCAGCCACAUGGAAUGGACUUGAACUCCACAUCCCCCCUGGAGAGGCAGGUAGGCAACAAAAGGAACCAGGAGCUGGUUUUGUUAUUGAAAUCUGCAGGGAAAUAGGGACAAAGCAGCUUCAAUUCCCCCAUUUUCUCAUUUUGGAGAGCUUGCCUUUGCAAUACAGCUUUUUAAUGUUAUCCUUGAUAAAAAUGUCCUUCCCUUCAUUCCCCUCCUCCCAGAGAAAGCUCCCUACAGUAUCACACAGGGAGAUUGCACCGGGAAUACAGAACACCCUGAUCUGCAAGGAGCACUGCCAGCCCUGGCUAUGGUCUAACCCCACAAAAAACAAAGGCAUUCUCUGGCCAGAUGCAUUUGGAUGUUGAGAGAGAGAAGAACGUGGUUGCCACUUUCCAGCUUCUCUUGGCACAAGGAUUUUCCAGUCAGCCAGGACAUCCUGAGGAUGGGAAGCAGCACUGGACCACCUAUGUGCUGGCUGUGCUCAGCAGCUGACACGUCCUUCCGAGCACCAGCCUUUCCAAACACAGCCCUGAGGUUACACAAAGUGGUUUUGAUCCCACCUUGGUGACCCCAGGGCUGCCAGGGGACCUUCUACUGCAUUUGAACGAGCUCCUUGUUCACAUGAAUCAUAGAAUGGUUUGGGUUGGAAGGGACUUUUAAAGGUCAUCUAAUCCAACCCCCAAAUGAAAACGCUGCAGUCUGGGCACGCUACCCUACAAACUCUCUGUUGAAUGCAAUAAUCACACUCUGGAUAACUCUGAGUUACUCUGCAAAGGGAAAAAGAAACCUCUCUAAAACCCA